UACGGAGGGUGCAAGCAUUAAUCGGAUUUAUUGGGCGUAAAGGGCGCGUAGGCGGUUAAGUAAGUCAGAUGUGAAAUUCCGGAGCUCAACUUCGGAGCUGCAUUUGAAACUACUUGACUUGAGGGAUGGCGGAGAAAACGGAAUUCCACGUGUAGCGGUGAAAUGCGUAGAUAUGUGGAAGAACACCUGUGGCGAAAGCGGUUUUCUAGCUAUUUUCCUGACGCUGAGGCGCGAGAGCAAGGGGAGCAAACAGG
rnacentral:rRNA from 1 species